UCUAGAGAGACUGCCAGGGAUAACCUGGAGGAAGGUGGGGAUGACGUCAAAUCAUCAUGCCCCUUAUGCUUAGGGCUACACACGUGCUACAAUGGGUAGUACAGAGGGUUGCCAAGCCGUAAGGUGGAGCUAAUCCCUUAAAGCUACUCUCAGUUCGGAUUGUAGGCUGAAACUCGCCUACAUGAAGCUGGAGUUACUAGUAAUCGCAGAGCAGAAUGCUGCGGUGAAUGCGUUCCCGGGUCUUGUACACACCGCCCGUCACACCACGGGAGUUGGAGACGCCCGAAGCCGAUUAUCUAACCUUUUGGAAGAAGUCGUCGAAGGUGGGAUCAAUAACUGGGGUGAAGUCGUAACAAGGUAGCCGUAUCGGAAGGUGCGGCUGGAUCACCUCCUUUCUAAGGAGA
rnacentral:rRNA from 1 species